GGAAUUUCUAUGCAAGGAGAGGAUGAUGGCUCAUCCCCAGAAACAUCAAUAUGUGCCUCUGAUGAUUCUGAUGUAGGAAUUAUUGAAAAUUGUCCUGUUGAGAAAGAUUUGGAUUUAGCUCAAGAAGAGAAAAUUGAUCAACAAAUGUCUCUUUCAAUGGAAAAAAUUGAGUUAUUGACAGAGAAACUUGCUACAAGUUCUAGUGAGAUGCUGGAGACCUCUGCCAUUAAAAGUACUGAAGACCCUGAUAGGAUGCAUGACGCCAAUAAGAAUGGCGACCUUGCCUUGUGUCAAGAAAAUCCAACUACAUUGCAUAAAGACACUGACAUGGUAGAAAAUGGGUUGCAUCAAGACUCAGAACAAACAGAGAUCAUUGGUGAUGAUGUGGUGGCAGAAUCAGAUGAGAAGCAAAUGAUCGAGGUUAAUGUGAUGGCAGAAUCAGAAGAACAGCAAGCUGCAAAAAGGCAGGUUAAUAUGAUGGCCGAAUCAGAUGAGAAGCAGAUGAUCGAAGUUAAUGUGAUGGCAGAAUCAAACGAGAAGCAAAUAAUCGGGAAUAAUGUGAUGGCUGAAUCAGAAGAACAGCAAGCUGCAAAAAGGCCGGUUAAUGUGAUGGCAGAAUCGGAAGAACAGCAAGCUGCAAAAAGGAGUCGGGUUACACCUCCAGAAGAAGGGGAGAGAGAUACCAUUGGAAGCCUGUCAAAGGAUCUCCAUUUGUAAUUUAGGAUGUAGGUGGAGCUGUCCUCUUAGAUUUUUGUUAACAUAAUUGUGAACCUGGAUCUCACUAGAUUUUGAUAUGCCAUUCUGUGAAUAGUGCCAUGGCCAUAUUUUAACAAUCAUUAGCUUGGGUUGUCUUGUAGGAAAAAGGAGAAAAUUGCAUCAAGUUCUUUUGUUAAUAAUUAAGCGACCAGAAUAUUUUUGGGCCUAGCAAAGGGAAUUAAAAUUCUUCUAGUUCAGGACUACAAGUUGUACUUUGCAAUUAUGUAAUGGUGAGCCUUUAGCUGCUUUGCAAAGAAGUACCAUUUUUUCCUCUGAAAUAGAACCCACAGCCAAUGAAAUUCAUAACAUAAAUCAAGCAUUUAUAUUACAUUUUCCUCCAAUGGUUGUGGGUUCUAUUU
rnacentral:misc_RNA from 1 species